UACGUAGGGGGCAAGCGUUGUCCGGAUUUACUGGGCGUAAAGCGCGUGUAGGCGGCUUUGCAAGUCGGGUGUGAAAGCCCUCAGCUCAACUGAGGAAGUGCGCCCGAAACUGGCGAGCUUGAGUGUCGGAGAGGAUGGCGGAAUACCCCAAGUAGAGGUGAAAUUCGUAGAUAUGGGGUGGAACACCGGUGGCGAAGGCGGCCAUCUGGACGACAACUGACGCUGAGACGCGAAAGCGUGGGGAGCAAACAGG
rnacentral:rRNA from 1 species